UGGGCCUCAGAUGGCUGGUCCCAGGGAGGCCCACAAAGGAAUCUGGCCACUCCUGGCCAGUGGGCUCAGCGAUCCGGCUGGCUCGGCUGGGGCCCCUCUUCUCCUGCUGCCCCCCGGCCACAACCCCAGAUGAAGUAACGGCAGCACUGGUCUCCACGGCCCAGCCCACAAGGAGCACUGUGUCCCCACAGCACGCCACCGGCCUCCCGGGCGCCUACAAUUAGGAGGAAGAUGCAAAACAGGGGUUUGUGGGAUUGCCCUUAACCCCUGUGGCCUCCCUGGAGGAGGGGGUGCAGUGGGACCGGCCGGAGGAGAGGUGGAAAGGAGGGUGUGAGACGGCACGUCCCCAUGCCCGGCCAUCUUGGAGGCCUGGGGACGGCAGAGGGGCGUCCAGAGGUGGAGACCAAGCACAAGAGACCCAGCGUUUCCUAAUGGGCCACAGCGAGGGCGGAGAGCAAAGAGCCGGGGGUUCCCACCCGGGCACCCAGGACCGCCUGGGGGCACCGCCCCUCUCCAACACCAACAAUUCCGUGGUUCCUUCUAAGAGCCUGUUUUUCAGAAGUGACGAGCCGAUGCUGAUUUUCCUGGGAAUUUACCCAAAACCACAGCCCCUGGCCCCCUGUCCUGCACUGGCUGGGCCAUGCCAGCCGCCUCCGGGCACUUUCAGCGGGUUAAGCCUCGAACUCACCAGGAACUCCGGAGGGUCGGCUCUGGCCUGGCGUUGCAUCUGUGGAUGGAUGCCUUGAGGACAGCAUGAAAAAUAUGGCCGAGGAGUCUCCUCGAGAAAAUGCAAUGACUACGGAUGGGGUCACGUGGGUGCUAGACUUAUGGGGGGUCACUUCGUCAACGACGUGUGUACUCACUGUGGGACACCCGAGCCUCAUGUCAUAUGUCGACUGUGAUAGAAAAAUGAAUAAAGCUUUUCUUUUCUCUCC